UACGGAGGGUGCGAGCGUUAAUCGGAAUUACUGGGCGUAAAGCGCACGUAGGCGGUUACUUAAGUUGGAUGUGAAAGCCCUGGGCUCAACCUGGGAACUGCAUCCAAAACUACUGAGCUAGAGUACGGUAGAGGGUAGUGGAAUUUCCUGUGUAGCGGUGAAAUGCGUAGAUAUAGGAAGGAACACCAGUGGCGAAGGCGACUACCUGGACUGAUACUGACACUGAGGUGCGAAAGCGUGGGGAGCAAACAGGAUUAGAUACCCGUGUAGU
rnacentral:rRNA from 1 species